UAAUAUCUUAGUAAUGCUAUGAAAAUAGUUUUGACUGGGCAUUGAUUGAAUCUCACCCAUAGGAAAGACAGACUAGAGCAAGAAUACAGCUGUACCUGGACAGAAGCAGUGGUCGCUGUAUUAGCACAGGAAGAGGUUUGGUGCAUUGUGAGGGUCACAGUGCUGCCUUAUGUGGUCUGUCUUUAGAAUCAUGUCCUGCUCUUGUCUUGUCUCACUGUAUCAUGGUCUCAGAUGUCCCUGCCUGAUGUCGAUGUUCUCUGAGAUGACUUAUGUCAACAGCAGAAUAACCUGGCCGAGUGGGGAGCAAAAGCCCCCGCUUCUGACAACACUGAGGUCAAUGUAAGUGUCAGACCAAUUCCUGUGGUCGGAGGCUGGUUUGUCCUUCUUGAAUUCAAUAUUUUAAAAUAACUACACCCCCCCAAAAAAAGAAUAUUAAAGAACAAUUUGGAAAAGAAGAAAUGCAAAUAUUAAACUCAUAUAUUAGUAAUAAAUAAAUGUAAACAAAAAUGAAAAUGUACAAUAAGAAAUGGGUAUGACUUAAAAUCUAUCAUCUUGGCAAAGAUGAAAGUGAAUGAGGGGAGGAUUGACAGGAACUGAGGGAGAACAGACUGUUGAGAAGACUGAUGGGAUUGAAAAUUGGUACAGAAAUCUUAAAGGUCACUUCGCAAAAUGUCUCAAUAAUUUCAAUAUUUUUACAUUGAAACCCAGACAUUUCUCUUUCAGAAAUUUAUCCCAAGAAGAUAAUCACACAUGUUCUCAAAAAUAGAUAGUCAAGGAUGUAUCUUGAAUUGUGGUUUAUAGAAGCAAAGAGUGGGAACAAUCCUAAUGUUACAAUCACUGUCAUGAUGUUCACUAUGAAUAGAGGAGCUCUGACUAUGUCUCAGGCAGUCAUUCCAUGUGAUUUACGUACAGGGUCAAAUUUAUGCCUCAAAGCAAACCCAUGAGGCACCCAGCCUGUGAUCCCUUUGAGCAGACAGGGAAAGGAGACUCAGAGAGGUUAAGGAGCAUCUAUUUCAAGGCCACCUUCCAUCAUGAUCUGGAGACACUGGAGGAGAGUAACAGGCCCCUGCUGAUGGGAGACAGGCUCUGCUGUGCGGGAGAGGGACAGAAAUGACCGAGACAGAUGCACAUCACGGCUGUGCUAAUUGCUGUGAGGAAGAGCUCGUGAUGCCAUGAGAGCAGAUAACAGGAGUCCCGGCAGGUCCCCUGCCGCUGUUAUCAAUGAUACCUGAAAGAUGUUUCGAAAGAAUAAAUGGAAUAUGAAACAAAAACAGAAUUCUAUACAAUUCUAUACAAUCAUAGAAUGAAAAAGAGCUCUUGGGAAUUAAAAAUAUGAUCAUAGAAAUGAAUAAUUCCAUAGAUGAACUGAAAGAUUACAGUCAUGCUCCCAGUAAGUAGAUGGAAAAGUAAUGGCAAGGAGGAGAGAGGACCCGUAAGAAUAUGUCUGUCAGUCAUGACAUUUCAACAAAUUACAAAUACAAGUUUCAAAAAUAAUGGAGAGUAGGAAAUGAUAAAAAAAAAAAAGUCUCAAGAAAACUUCUCAGAGUUUACAGACAAAAAUUUACAUCUUGAACGGCCUACACAAAUUCUUAGUGCACUAGAAGAAAACAGACCCACACCAGGGCCCAUCACAGUGAAAUCUAAGAAAAGACUGGAAAAGAAGAGACUUUGGAAACUAUAAGACGCAACGCACCUGGGCCUGGAGGCUAGGAGACAUUGAGCAAUGCAUUCUGAAUUUUGAGGAAAAAGAGUUAUGACAGCUGUAUGCAGGAACGAAGGAGGCAGAAGAGAGUGGGAAACUGCUGACACAGGGGAGGGAGGAGCCACACCCUGUACCCUCCCUGAGGGGCAGCCUUAGCAGGAGGGACCGUCCAUCAUCACUGGUGGGAAGUAAUGGAAUUUCUGUGGCAGAAGAGCUCAGUCAACAGGUGAUGGGUCUGGAGUAGAGGAUCAGAAUGUGCGUCCUGACACAUGAGCUGAAGAUACAUGUUAAGUACUUUAUGAGUGCACGGAUUUUAAUGUAAUAUAUUUUUGAAAACAUUGCACAGAAGAGAAUUCAAAAGAUACUCAAGAAUUUAUAAAACGUAAGUAAUCAUAUUGUCUCCACGUUUCGCCAGUCACCCAAGUCCUCUGCUCAAAAACCACUGCACUUAGCAAUUUCUCUUUCUCCUCCCAGAAAACUUUAUCUAUAUCUGAAUGUAUACUGUUACCUCAGUAAAAGAGUGCAGGCCACAGACAGGGAGAAAUUAUUUGCAAAUUCGCAUAUCUGAUAUAGGACCUGUUUUAGAAUAUACAUGGAAACACUAAACUCAACAUUUUGAAAAUAAGUCAUUUAAAAAUGCAGAAAUGUCUGAACAGACACCUCAUCAAAGAAGAUUUAUCAAUGUAAAUGCAUAUGAAAAGAUGGUCAACAUCAUAUGUUAUUAGGAUGUGCAAAUAAAAACAAUGAUGUUAUCCUAUCACACACGUAUGAGAACAGCUGGAAUCCAGGAACAGGAGAUGCCAAGCGCUGAGCAGGAUGUGGAGCCGCAGAAGCCUCCCGGCACUGCUGCAGGAACACGAAGCAGCGUAGCCACUGCAGGGACGGGCAGCAGUUUCUCAUGAAGCUACACAGAGGCUCACCAUCCCCUCUGCGGAUCACUCCAGUAUUUACAAAACUCAUCUGAAAACUCAUGUUUUUAGAAAACCUGCACACCAAUGUUUACAGCAGAGUGCCCCUCAAGUGUGGGCUGCACAUAGUGACUUCCUUCUAAAGACUACAGUAUGGAAAGUGGGGAAGGAAAAGGAAAAGUUCACAAAGAGAAACCUGGGACAUGUACCUUAGCCAGGUGAUGAGGUGAACUUAUUGGUGAUAAUCAAGUGGAGAGCACACACUCUCGAUGUGUGGAGAAUGUUACUUCAUGUCUGUGGUCUUCUCCCCCCAAACCCUUUGCCCCAGUCACUCAAGUCAAAUAAGAGAGACAGGCUACAAUAUCCCUGAGCAGUCCUCUCCACAAUAUAUAGGUUAUUGAAAAUGAGGGAAGUCUGAGAGGCUGCAUGGACUUAAUAUAAUGGGGUGUCUUCAAUGGGACCCUGGAUCAGAAAUAAAGAAAAACUAAUGAAAUCCAGAUAAAUCUUGGAGUUUGGUAAUAAUGUAUCAGUGUGCUUCAUUAGCUGUGACAAAUGUAUGGUCGUCAUAUGAGAUGUUCCCACAGGGAAACUGAUGGUGAGAUAUACAGUAACUCUGUACUAACUUUACUACUUUUUGUAAAUUUUAAACCUUAGUAUAAUUUAAAAAAAAUUUAGUAUCCGCCGGAAACGAAGAGGGAGUGGAAGAAACAAUACAGACUUUGAGUUUUCCAGGGUGUUUUCAUCAAGGAAAGGAAAGUGUGUUGUGGAGAGAGAAGAUGGGAAGCUUAGACACAGGGCAGGGCUGCAGGGCUCUCCUCUUCUCCAUCCCCUGCCCCACCCCCCGAGCCUGACCCCAGAGCUACUCAGAAAGCAUCCUCAUCCCCCACUGCUGUCCAAUCUCCAGGUCAGCCUAUGACUCAUACCACAGCCCCUUCGCUCCCCGGGCUGUGCCUGAAUAGGAGAGCGCAGAGCAGCAGCGCCCUCGUGUGGCCACAGGGAUGAUGACAGGAGACCUGAGCUCCCUUUUGACCUCCUUACCAGGGACCUGCCCAGGGUCUCCUUGGGCUCUCAGCAGUGAGACAAGGCUGUGCAUCCAAGGGGGCGACCCACCCACUGAUACAUUAUUACCAAAAUGCAAGUUUAGAAUCUUAAUUAUUUCACAAAAUACAGGCUUACAUAGAUGUUUUCCUCCCCAUUGAGUUACCAAGGAUUUUGACCUCAGGGAGGAGCAGAUCUCGAGAACCGUAAAAGCUGAAUCCCAGGUCCAAGGUGGACCCCACACACAUACUGGAUGCCCUCAAUCUCCUGGGAUAAUACCUUGAACCGCAAGUCCCUGUCACCUGUUUCCAUUGCUGCUAACAAGGAUGUAGGCUCUUGCUCCAGGGAAUCAACUCUGGAACCUCCAUCCCGAGGAUGGUGUGGAAGGGGAUGGGGGGGAGAUCCCCAGGGUAACAGGGCUCUUUGACAAGUGAGGACAAGGAAGAAAUCAUGAUGUGAAGGAAAAGCCCAGCUGGGCUAACAAGCUAAGUCACAAAUCUAAGUGUAACAAGUGUUGGAUUACUGAUCUGAGUUCUGCUGGGCUAACUCGUAAAUCUAAGUUAAUAAGUGUUGGUUUGCUGAUUCCCUGUUCAUGUUUUUUGCUAGCCAGCUGGAUUUUCAAAGAGACAUAUCUGGCCUUGAAAUGUUGGUUUGCUGCCUCACUGUCUCUACUUUUGUGAUAAUGUUGCUAAAGCUGUUCCAUGCCUAUUGGCCGAAUAUGCCAAGCUUGUACUUAACUCUAUAAAAUCUCAUGUGCACGUCGUGGAGGUGCUCAGAGCUUAGGAGCAGAAGCCCCUCUGAGCCCGCCGGUGUAAUAAAUCUGAGUAC